CACGCGGUGGCCGGGAGGACUGAUGGGCCGAGGCCCCGGGAGGCCCGGCUUGGGGUAGCGUGAUUCGCUCAUUUGCCGCUGGCAGGAACCCCCAGGCCCCAAGGACACUCGCCUGUUCCUGGGAGGGAUAGAGGGGCCGCGUGCGGCUGAGUCCGUUGGAAACCACCUUUGCAAAAUUGUAACUGAGGAAACUGUGAUGGUGAAAGAAAUCAGACCUAACCAACUCCAUCUUGCUUCUAAUUUAAGCUGUCCUUGUUUAUGCCUGGGCGGAAGCCCGACUAACUUUGGGAAGGAAUUCAGUCCAUGGUUUGACUCUGAAACAAAAUUGAUAAAAGCCUGUGAACCCUGAAAAUGUGAGACAGGUGUCAGUUCAUUCAGAGAGUUUAUUUUGCCGGCAGGGCGAGGUGGCUCAGGCCUGUAAUCCCAGCACUUUGGGAGGCCGAGGCGUGCGGAUCACCUGAUAAGGGAAGCAUGAGACAACAAUCCUUGGAUCAGCUCAGUGGAUCAGCUGACACCACCCACACCGAUAAUCUGCUUCAACCUGUUCUGCCGUCCCAACCAGGAACAGACAACAGCAAGAAAAACUCGGACAACCUCUGAUUCCAUCUUCAACCUGGCCAAUCAGCACUCCCCACUUCCCAAGCUCCUGCCCGCCCAAUUGUCUUUAAAAACUCUGUUCCUUGAAUGCUCAGAGAGAUUGAUUUGAGUAAUAAUAAAACUCCAGUCUCCCGCA